AGAACAAGUCCGGGCAUAUGUGGAGAUCGGGUCCCGGUCCCGGCUCGUCAAGCCCCAGCUUUAUGGUGGCUCCUCAGCCUCCCACUACGUGGGUAGAAAGUUUCCAGCCACGAAAGUGAAAGUGAAAUGCAAAUCAAGCCUACCGGGAGGAAAAGCCUCCUUGCAGCCUGAAGAGAGUACAGCUGCUGCAAAUAUGCACUUUAUUUUUCAAUUACAGAAUUGAUGCGCUCGUAGGUGUCACAAGAUAAAGAGAUGGAGUCCUGCUCUGUCAUCCAGGCUGGAGUACAGUGGCGCGAUCUCAGCUCAUUGCAACCUCCGCCUCCCAGGUUCAAAGAGGGGAGUCUCCCUUUGACACCCAGGCUGGAGUGCAGUGGCAAGAUGACUACUCACUGCCACCUCCAACUUCUAGGCUCGAGAGAUCCUCUUGCCACCUCCCAAAUAGCUGGGACUACAGGGGUGCACCACUGUACCUGGCUAAUUUUUAAAUGUUUUUGUAGAGAGAAGGUCCCACUAUGUCGCUCUGGCUGGUCUCCAACUCCUGGGCUCAAGCAAUCUUCCCAAUCGGUCUCCC
rnacentral:lncRNA from 10 species